GAUGAAGAACGUAGCGAAAUGCGAUAAGUAAUAUGAAUUGCAGAUUUUCGUGAAUCAUCGAAUCUUUGAACGCACAUUGCGCCCUUUGGUAUUCCAAAGGGCAUGCCUGUUUGAGCGUCAUUUCUCUCUCAAAUCUUCGGAUUUGGUUUUGAGUGAUACUCUUAGUCAGACUAAGCGUUUGCUUGAAAUGUAUUGGCAUGAGUGGUACUAGAUAGUGCUGAACUGUUUUCAAUGUAUUAGGUUUAUCCAACUCGUUGACCAGUAAAGUAUUUGUUUAUUACACAGGCUCGGCCUUACAACAACAAACAAAGUUUGACCUCAAAUCAGGUAGGACUACCCGCUGAACUUAAGCAUAUCAAUAAGCGGAGGA
rnacentral:misc_RNA from 1 species